UACUGAUACACUUACUUUAUAACCUUAUUUCAUAAUUAUUUAACUUAACUUAGGUAGCUAUUUUCCAGUGUCUCUUGGGCUAGCUUAGAAAAAAAUAAAAAAUCUGUUUCCCUCCUUUUCAAACAUUAUUCCAGUCAUUUAAUUUAGUCAAGAUAAUUUACAAAAAAUGCUUAAUAAUGAUGGUGGCAGAGAGGGAAUCCCAGUUAAUUUCUAUCUCUGGAGUAUUUUCAUUACAAUAGUGCUUGUAACUGGCAUCAGCUAACAGCUUUUAUUGUAUUUAAAUAACUGCCUCCCUUUUUAGGUGCAUUUUCAUUAGGAAUGAUGUAAAAUUUUAUCUAAUCUACUGCUAUGACUACAUGAUUUGUCCUGUAAUGUAUUUGAUACAAUAAACUAUGCUGACAGAUUUCCUGAUAAUAAAUCAUGAUUACAUUUUGACAUUCUAAUAUUCUUUUGAGAGACUGGCAAAUCUGCUAAUAUUUUACUUCUGAAUUUAUAUUAACAACUGAGAUUAAACUACUGAGAUUAAAUUACUGAACUGUUACCUCUCCUUUUCACAGGUCCCUAUCUCAUUCUACGUUGUUUCUAUAAAGAUAGGAUAUGCCAACAUUUUCAUCUUGACAGGUGAAGAUGAGCUCUUUGUCAGAGAAGAGGACUUUUUGAGGGGCUGGACCCAACUGCUGGGGAGCUUUAUUGGCAGCACACUGAUAAGUGCCUGGAAGUCUCCUGACUACACUGAAGCAAUGCUCUGGCGAGUAAGUUGUCAGCUGCACAUCAAGACAAUAAAAGGAAGUCUCUCGAUUCCUCAGUCUCAUCUGCUGCAAAGGCUGAAUUCCCAUCUGGGGCGUGGAGGAUCACCAUGUC